rnacentral:rRNA from 1 species
UGCUGGAGGUAUCAGAAGUGCGAAUGCUGACAUAAGUAACGAUAAAGCGGGUGAAAAGCCCGCUCGCCGGAAGACCAAGGGUUCCUGUCCAACGUUAAUCGGGGCAGGGUGAGUCGACCCCUAAGGCGAGGCCGAAAGGCGUAGUCGAUGGGAAACAGGUUAAUAUUCCUGUACUUGGUGUUACUGCGAAGGGGGGACGGAGAAGGCUAUGUUAGCCGGGCGACGGUUGUCCCGGUUUAAGCAUGUAGGCUGGUUAUCCAGGCAAAUCCGGAUAAUCAAGGCUGAGGUGUGAUGACGAGGCACUACGGUGCUGAAGUAACAAAUGCCCUGCUUCCAGGAAAAGCCUCUAAGCAUCAGGUAACAUCAAAUCGUACCCCAAACCGACACAGGUGGUCAGGUAGAGAAUACCAAGGCGCUUGAGAGAACUCGGGUGAAGGAACUAGGCAAAAUGGUGCCGUAACUUCGGGAGAAGGCACGCUGGUGUGUAGGUGAAGCCCCUGCGGGUGGAGCUGAGACCAGUCGAAGAUACCAGCUGGCUGCAACUGUUUAUUAAAAACACAGCACUGUGCAAACACGAAAGUGGACGUAUACGGUGUGACGCCUGCCCGGUGCCGGAAGGUUAAUUGAUGGGGUUAUCCGUAAGGAGAAGCUCUUGAUCGAAGCCCCGGUAAACGGCGGCCGUAACUAUAACGGUCCUAAGGUAGCGAAAUUCCUUGUCGGGUAAGUUCCGACCUGCACGAAUGGCGUAAUGAUGGCCAGGCUGUCUCCACCCGAGACUCAGUGAAAUUGAACUCGCUGUGAAGAUGCAGUGUACCCGCGGCAAGACGGAAAGACCCCGUGAACCUUUACUAUAGCUUGACACUGAACAUUGAGCCUUGAUGUGUAGGAUAGGUGGGAGGCUUUGAAGCGUGGACGCCAGUCUGCGUGGAGCCAACCUUGAAAUACCACCCUUUAAUGUUUGAUGUUCUAACGUUGGCCCCUUACCGGGGUUGCGGACAGUGUCUGGUGGGUAGUUUGACUGGGGCGGUCUCCCUCCCAAAGCGUAACGGAGGAGCACGAAGGUUAGCUAAUCCUGGUCGGACAUCAGGAGGUUAGUGCAAUGGCAUAAGCUAGCUUGACUGCGAGCGUGACGGCGCGAGCAGGUGCGAAAGCAGGUCAUAGUGAUCCGGUGGUUCUGAAUGGAAGGGCCAUCGCUCAACGGAUAAAAGGUACUCCGGGGAUAACAGGCUGAUACCGCCCAAGAGUUCAUAUCGACGGCGGUGUUUGGCACCUCGAUGUCGGCUCAUCACAUCCUGGGGCUGAAGUAGGUCCCAAGGGUAUGGCUGUUCGCCAUUUAAAGUGGUACGCGAGCUGGGUUUAGAACGUCGUGAGACAGUUCGGUCCCUAUCUGCCGUGGGCGCUGGAGAAUUGAGGGGGGCUGCUCCUAGUACGAGAGGACCGGAGUGGACGCAUCACUGGUGUUCGGGUUGUCAUGCCAAUGGCACUGCCCGGUAGCUAAAUGCGGAAGAGAUAAGUGCUGAAAGCAUCUAAGCACGAAACUUGCCCCGAGAUGAGUUCUCCCUGAGACUUUAAGUCUCCUGAAGGAACGUUAAAGACGAUGACGUUGAUAGGCCGGGUGUGUAAGCGCAGCGAUGCGUUGAGCUAACCGGUACUAAUGAACCGUGAGGCUUAACCUUACAACGCCGAAG